rnacentral:rRNA from 1 species
UACGUAGGGUGCAAGCGUUAAUCGGAAUUACUGGGCGUAAAGCGUGCGCAGGCGGAUGAUUAAGUUAGAAGUGAAAUCCCCGGGCUCAACCUGGGAACUGCUUUUAAGACUGGUCAUCUAGAGUUUGUCAGAGGGGGGUGGAAUUCCAAGUGUAGCAGUGAAAUGCGUAGAGAUUUGGAGGAACACCGAUGGCGAAGGCAGCCCCCUGGGAUAAAACUGACGCUCAGGCACGAAAGCGUGGGUAGCAAACAGGAUUAGAUACCCUGGUAGUCCACGCCCUAAACGAUGUUUACUUGCUGUUGGGGGCAACCUUAGUAGCGAAGCUAACGCGAGAAGUAAACCGCCUGGGGAGUACGGUCGCAAGAUUAAA